rnacentral:rRNA from 1 species
GACGAACGCUGGCGGCGGGCUUAACACAUGCAAGUCGAACGGAAAGGGGCUUAGGGUUACUUGAGUGCUGAAGGGUUGAGUAAGACGGGGGUAAGCUGGGCUGCACUUCUGGAUAAGCCUGGGAAACUGGGUCAAAUAUAGAAAAGAACCACUCACGUCGCGGGGUGAGGGAGGAAGCUCUUGUGGCGUGGGGUGGUCGCGGGGGCUAUGAUCGUGUUGGUGGGGUGAUGGGGUACCAAGGCGACGACGGGUAGACGGCCUGGGAGGGUGACCGGCCACCCUGGGACUGCGAUACGGCCCAGACUCCUACGGGAGGCAGAAGUGGGGAAUCUGGCACAAUGGGCGCAAGCCUGUUGCGGCGACGCCGCGUGAGGGAUGUCGGCCUUCGGGUUAUGAACCGCUUUCAGUAGAGACGAAGCGUCAGUGACGGUACCUGUAGAAGAAGCACCGGCUAACUACGUG